CGUAUUUGGGUCAGAUUGGGGUGUUGGGUAUUCAGGUUGGAUCAGAUAAUUGGGAUUCGGAUACCUUGGUCAUAUCAGGUAAUUGUGGGUCGGGUACUUUGGUCAGAUUGGGGGUCGGAUACCUGGGUCAGAUCAGGUAAUUGGGGGUCUGGUACUUGGGUCAGAUUGGGGGUCUGGUACCUGGGUCAGAUCAGGUAAUUGGGGGUCUGGUACCUGGGUCAGAUUGGGUGAUUGGGGGUCGGAUACCUGGGUCAGAUCGGGUAACUGGGGGUGCGGACCAAGGCAGUAAA